rnacentral:lncRNA from 1 species
CCGAAUCGACACCAAACUAUAUGGGCACAAGUACUCAAAGCAAAUGUACGUCUUAAUCGUAAAUGUAGUUCGGCUGUCAGAAUGCUGAACUCUAAAUCCCACUUGUGAGUAUCCAAUCAUAAAACAACUCAGCGUUCAAAGUGCCGAGCCCAGCAAUUUGUAACACCCCACUUCAUCGAGAAGGCUGAUGAGAUGACCUCUACCAAUAAGGAUUUGAAAACCCUUGUCAAUCGAGACUUGGAUAGGUAAUCAGUCGCUCGAGAUGCAGUGCUGUUUAUCUAAACUGAAGGUGUUCCACGAUCGGCUGAUUCUAUAGCAACAGCGUUGUUUAUCCAAACUGAAGAUAUCACCGGUUGCUUUCAAAGUGUGUUUAUCCAAACUGAAGAUGUGUUGGCGAAAAGGAAAUAAAAUCUCAAUGUUGUUGAGAGGUUUCGCGUAGAGCGAAAGUUUGCGCAUGAUAGUUUGUGUCAUGAAUUUGAGGGCUUAGAAUGAUGCACCCUCUUCUUAUUUAUAGCAGCCAAUCUCAUCAUGGCCAAACCAGAACUAUACUCGAAUUAGGAUUCUUUAUCCUAAUCUAACCAAGUCUCGGCCAAUCCUACCUCCAUUAGGACCUUGAAUCAAACUCUUUAUCCGGCCACAUUCACUUCUCAAAUCUCAGCAUCUUUAUUCCAUUAAGACUCUUUAUCAUACUAAGACUCGGCCCAUUCGCUCUUAUCCAGAUCAAUGCUUCUUGCAAUAGGACUCGGCUAACCUAACUAGGUGGCUCAUGACCACUGGACGGCCCAUAGUAUUUUUGGAAGAGCUUUGGAUCGAACAUAAAACUACGCUCAGCCCAAUAAUCUUAUUUUGGGACCAAACAGGACCAGAGACAUCCCUUAAGGAUAAGGGAUGGAAAAAGACACAUGCAACUUAGUAUAAGGUGAUGCACCUACGUGUUCUCUCAAGGGAUGAGGAAAAAAAAACUUAUAUUGUCUAACCCACUAUAAAGUUCAAGUUAACAAUAGACAUAAAGGGUAGGUAGCAUAGGGUGAGUGCAGAAAUCGAACUGCCAUAGUCGACGCAAUUUAUACCUAAAUAUGAGCAACCAAUUCCAAGCCUCCUAGCCAAAAUUCCUUAGUGGAAUUUCUUACUCACUCCCUUCACAUAAAUCUCUGUGUAUGAGUUCAAUUCUAGCAAGGUGUAUGCGAGAGAACUACGUCGGUUUGAUCCUUGUGGUAGAGUAUAGGGUACAUAGGCAAUCUAACUAGAUUAGAUGCAUCUGAAUCCUACAAGUGGUGGCGUUAGUAAAUGUGGUCAAAGAAAACUCGCAAGAACGAGACAAUAAUCUAAAAUUUGUUAAUUCCGCUAGGUAUAAACCUAAACAAAUUCCAUUAAUAUAUACAUACAUAUAUAUAUAUAUAUAUAUCCAACAAACGACUUACAUGAAACGAGUUCACCAUCAUGUGGUGUCCCUUGUCGAAUAAUAUAUUUUCAUGUGCAAGUUUUUCUCCAUAAGACAAUUGUUGGAACCAAAAAGGGCGCACUAUGGGUAUAGGCAUGAUUCAAUCGGAAUUGGCCAUGUACUUGUUAGAACCCAACUCUACUUCUUUCUUAAUUGCAUAGUAACAUGUAUUACAUAGAAGACUAUUACAACAUCAACCACUACUUCUUCUACCAAUCACUUAUUUAUACUAACUAAUACAUAACAAACCCAACAGCUUCACCCAAAUCUGUUACUAGCAAUUGACACGUGUACAACAAGACGAUGCCACCUGGCAUCAUAACAAUACCUCUCCAUGAAAGGACACGUGUACAACAAGAUCUCUGACUGAUUAGUUCCUCGAAAUGCAUAUUAGAAAUAGGUUGUGUGUUUAACAGGAGGGAAAGGAAUGUAAAACAACAACAUUGCAAUUCAUCAUUUUACUUUUCAUGCUCAGAGUUCUUCCAUAAAAUUGAUCCGAAAACACUUGACCGUUGAGAACCCAAUGCCAUAAUACACCCUCCCAUAAUCAGAGACCUUGUCCUCAAGGUUUGAAGUCAUGUAGCAUCUUCCUUACAUAAAUGUUGACAACGAACCCAGACUAUCACAGUGGUGCAAGGUGGAAUUGCAAUAAUAGCUUCUACAACAAGCAGCAAAGUAAUACUAGCUCUCCAGAGCAAAUUACUACUCCAUAGCCUUAACAAUAAUGAACCUAAAACACUAGACCCAUCCACCAGUUUAGGUAUGUGAUUUGCAACCGUGAAGGCAGCAUCCAACUUCCUUUGCUCAACAUAUUUGCUACUAAAAUGUUUAAGAAUACCAAGGUCUGUCAUUGUCAUCAUUCUACCAAUUAAUAAACUAGAAAUAAAAGUUGUAGUGUUGAUACCUUUCCCACUUUCAAGUAUAUGACCCUUAUCUUGCAAACCAAAAAGCCAUUAACAGAACUUUCAAAUGGAAGCUUCUUUUGCAUGUGAAAGCUAUGAACCAUAUAAUCCUCCCUAACAAUUGGGAAUGUCCUAUUCUCAACUCAAUAUAUGUACUAUGUUUGUACCAUACUUGACCAAUCCCAAAACUACUGAGCACUGGUCAACGAUAUACCGUCAAGGACCCAGAAGAGUUUCCCUCCAACCAGGAGGUCAAUCAUAGUGCGACACGUGUCGACAUCAGAAGCCAAUCAUAGCG